AUGGCGAAUUGUGACUAUUUACAAACUCAGCUAACCUCUGUUUUGAACUCGCUUGUUAAAAUUGCGGUCGUGGAACUACUGCGAAUUGUGGAGGAUAGCGCCGUUGAACUUCGUCUGGAGGUGUCCAAGAGUAAAUUUGAGAACGAAGCACUGAAAAUUGAGAACGAGUCUAACAAAAACAAGUUGCAGAGUUUGGAAGCAGAACUGUGGACAGCGGGAAAUCGACCAUGUUCCAUGUGUUAUCGUUGUGUUGGAACUCCAGCUCGCGGUAAAGGUGGAUGCGUCAGCCCCAAAAUAGAUGGAGAUGCUGCUGGUCCUCCUAAUUCUUCAGAGGAGGACAAUGCAUCAUCAUGGCUGCAACAAUCUGCUCAUACCAUGGACGAGACUACAGCAGCCAUGGAGAGGGAUGGGAUUCAAAUCGUUGUCAUUAAGAACGAAGCGGGGCAUGAAGGCACACACAGGAAGAAGGACCCACAGGCUGGAAUUUCAACAGAAGGUGAGCAGCCGUGUCCCAAAGUGGACAUGGUGUAUGGCAAGGAGUGGAGCCAAAGCCUGUGGCGAGACAGAGAUGCUGUCAAGGAGGACUCUGCAGGACCAUCGGUGACCCAUCGACAGUGGCUUACACCUGGGCAGUCAAGCUCUGUGGACUUACGAAAUCUGCGCCGGCGCCGAAGAGUAAGAACUCAACCGCACCCGCAAAGGAGAGGGACCUACCUCAGGUACACCCCCGAGCAAAGGGCCAAGAUUGCGCGGAUGUGCAUGGAGGUGGGUGCACAGAUGGCCGCAGCCAUGAUGUCUGAGGAAUUGGGAAGACGCAUCAGCCCCAACACUGUGAGGUCCAUGAGGAUCAGCUACGAACAGACGGUCGAAAGCAUGGGCGUCCAGAAAGUGGAAGACCUACCCCAUUUGAGGCCAUUCAGAACAGACAUGUUUGAUGAGGAGAUUACUCGCUUCGUAAUGGUCAAGACUGUUUCGGCUCAGAAAAGGCGGAGUGUUUGUGUAAAGAAGUCCGUCAUAGAAGAUGAACCUGCUGACUCAUCAAAUGCUGGUACCCAGCACCAGAACACCACUGAAUCCUGUGAUGUGGAGAAAAGUUGUGCAUUUGGAAGUUUUGAACCAGAAAGUUGUUUGAACUUUGAAGAAAACCACUUCUUGACUUCACCAGUCAACAUCAUGGUCCCAAAAUGUGUGAAGCUACCAGGUGCAGCAGCUGUCAUGGACACCCAAUUAGACAAGUCCAUGGACUUUGACAACAUGAACAACUCCGGAAGAAAGAAGAGAGGGAGAAAAAAUGGCCCCUGUAAAGGCAAUGUAAAUUACUGUUUUGUAUGUGGAGAGCCCCAAUCGAAGAUCUCCCGCCACUUGAAACAGCACGAGAAGGAAAAUGCUGAAAUUGCUUAUGUCUUAAGUCUUGACAUAGCUUCAAGACAGAGGAAAGUGUUGCUGGAGAAACUGAGGAACAAGGGAAAUUUCCAACACAACACUAACGUCGUAAAUAAGGGAUCCGGGUGUCUCAAAGUAAAAAGGAAACCCAAACCGAAUAGUGGCGCGAAGAGAUUUGAACCUUGUCUUUACUGUAAAGGUAUGUUCAUUUGGCAAGAUGUGCGGAGGCACAUGGGAAGAUGCCCUUGUAGACCUGAGGGGGGAGAUAAAAACCAAGAGCAUCAUUAUGGCAAGAAGCAGUACUUACAGAGCUGCUACACUGGACGAGUGAGCAGCAUGUUUAAUAAAAUUGAUGUGCAGCUCACACCUGGGGGGGGGAUUAACUAGCACUUGUAUUUUUGCCUCGCCACACUGUCUUUGCCCUCGUUUGGGUGCUAGCAAGCAUGCUAGGCAUCAACAGCCAAUCCAUUAGGGUCUAGAAGCUAUAGUGAGAUUAAAUUGGUGCUGCGUAAUCAAUCAAUCAAAUGUAUUUAUUAAGCCCUUUUUAUACAUCAGCAGGUGUCACAAAGGGCUAUACAGAAGCCCUACCCAAAACCCCAGAUAGCAAGCAAUGCAGAAGCACGGUGGCUAGGAAAAACUCCCUAGAAAGGCAGAAACCAGGCUCUGAGGGGUGGCCAGUCCCCUUUUGUCUGUGCCAGGUGGCGAUUAUUAAGGCCAGAUUGUUCUCCCAAAUGUUCAAACGUUCAUAGAUGACCCGCAGGGUCAGAUAAUAAUGACAGUGGUUGUAGAGGGUGCAACGGGUCAGUGUAUUAAGAGUAACUGUCACGACUUUUCAUAACUGGGCAUUCAGAGGUCGAAAUAGAAGGUGCGGUAGAGAGAGGGAGAGUUGAAAACAGGAGGUCUGGGACAAGGUAGCAAAUCCGUUGAACAGGUCAGGGUUUCAACCACCAACUUACCAUCCUGAGACAAGGUCGAGUAUAGCCCACAAAGAUCUCCACCGCCCGAGGAGACGACAAACCUGACAGGAAGAUCACGUCAGUGACUCAACCCACCUAGGGACGGCAGGGAAGAGCACUAAAAAGCCAGUGACUCAGCCCCCGUAAUAGGGUCAGAGGCAGAGAACCUAAUGGAGAGGGGAACGGGACGAGCCGAGUCUUCAAUAAAGACAAAGGUCGAGACCGGGUCUGCGUCUCUCACGUGGAUAGGUAGACCAUUCCAUAAAAAUGUAUCUCAAUAGGAGAAAGCCCUGCCUCCAGCUGUUUGCUUAGAAAUUCUAAGGACAAUAAGGCAUUUGUAGGUAUGUACGGCAGGACCAAACCUUGAAAUCAGCCUUCAAAUACUCAAGCUAAGAGCUUUUGCAUAAAGUUAAUCUUUCUCAAAUUAAGGUCCCGCUCUUUUCACGCAAACAUUGCCCAACGCUCCCUGCCCAAUUUCACUUCUCUUCCACCCAAAAUGAAUGGCUUUCCGUAGUUUAAUCGUCCACAUCGUCUUUAGUUAAAAAAAGUACCGUGAGAGCGUUUGAUAAAGUGGCUAAAGCUUUUUCCAGGAUACAUUCUGUAGCAGCUAAAUGUCUACAAUGACGGUCUACUUUCGUUACACCAACGCUACGCCCCCAGUAUAGCAGCUCUGUUAGGGGCUAAACUCAUAAACCAGGUUGGAACCAUAAUGUGUAAUACUCUAUAAAUUAUCCCAAUAGUGUUCAGAGUGGACUGUCAGAUUUUGUUGUUUUGUUCUUUUAAAGAAUUUCCCGAUCUAGCCUCGGUUUAAAUUCUCCUCCUCUCGACAGAAUGAGAUUUGGGUUUCGGAGGCGUGCUUUUGUGUGUUUGUUUGUGUGUGUUUUGGGAAGCGUUUGUACUUCCACCCUGCCAAAACAUUAGUCACUCACCUUUCUAGAUAACGUGAAACCGUGUUACCAGGUGUUGCCUUGAAGUAGCUAGCAAGCUUUCCAACUUCUUUCGCCAAUUAGCUUCAGCCGGCAGGUGUGUGACCGUGGCAGUUGGUUUGAAUUUAUUUGGUUAGCCUACCUGUGAGUCUAGCAGGAGUUAAAGUUCCUAGUCACUGCUGGUUUGGAGAUGACAUAGCCUAAUACAGACAGAAGCAUGUCUGUUCUACAAAAUGUAUUCUCUAAUAUUUUAUUUUCUGUUACGCUGUGUGUACUGAACUGACAUGCAUGAUUGUUGAUGACACUGAUGUUCAGAUGAAGCGAAUUAAAUAGUCUAUAAUGUGCACCAAAACAGCGCUUAACUCAAACAGCGGUGUGUAGCCUACCGUAGCUGGUAAUUCAAAGCUUAUACUUUAUGACUCAGUAUGUAACUUUCCAGUGCUACUAUUUUUGCUGUAAUGUUAUUAAAAUUUAGACAGCCCAAUAGUAGAAUAGUUUACCUAGUUAGCUUGUGUGUUCUGUUUGCAAGAUAAAUAUUCCACUCGAGCACAGUAGGUUGGUGGCACCUUAAUUGGGGAGGAUGGGCUCGUAGUAAUGGCUGGAGCGGAAUAGGUGGAAUGGUAUCAAAUACAGCAAACAUAUGGUUUCCAUGUGUUUGAUGCCAUUCCGGCCAUUAUCAUGAGCCAUCUCCCCCCUUGGCAGCCUCCUGUGCUCUCAAGAUGCAUUCAAGUUGCUAGAGCCAUAGAGGGAAAAGUAUUCUGACAAGUCAAUGCACAAAAGUUCUAUGUGCAAUCGCAGGAAAACACUUUUGGCCUUUGUUGCGAAAACAUGUUUAAUUCACACAAACUUACUCAAAGUUUCAGUAUUGAUUAUUUUAAAUGCAAGAACAUGUUAAUUUGCUUUCAUGAGUUUAUUCUCUCACUGCCCUAAGUUUAAGACAAGGGUUUUGCUAUCUUGGAAUUAAGAACAUUUCCAAUAACUUAUUUUCAGGAAUCUAAUUUCUUAACUUUUUGCUUAGUGCAAUACAUUUUUCAACAACUUUUUUGAGGAAUACCAACUUUGCUAAAAAAAAAUCUUAAGUCUAUAGUUAAGAAGAAAUGUCUUAUGAAUGCUUUGUGAAUCUGGGUCCCUUGACUUUUUCCACAUUUUGCCUUAUUCUACAAUUGAUGGAGAAAAUACUCAAUUUAAUCCAUCUACACACAAUACCCCCAUAAUGACAAAGCAAAACAUUUUUUUAUUUUUUUAUUUUGCAAAUGUAUAACAAACUGAAAUUUCGCAUUUACAUCCGUACUCAAACCCUUUGCUAUGAGACUUGAAAUUGAGCUCGGGUGCAUCCUGUUUCCAUUAAUCAUCCUUGAGCUGUUUCUACAGUUGACAGUGCAUGUCAGAGCAAAAACCAAGCCAUGCUGUUCCUAAGCUGUCAUUGUUAAUAGGAAUUUGUUCUUAACUGACUUGCCUAGUUAAAAUAAUGGUUAAAUACAAAAUAAAUGGAUGUCAAAGGAAUUGUCCAUAGGCCUCCGAGACAGGAUUCGGCACAGAUCUGGGGAAGGGUACCACAAAAUGGCAAUGGAGUAGAAUGUCAUUUUUACAAGUAAUCAGAACUGAGCUUCCCAGUUCAUCUACAUAAAUUAUCCCGGGGAGGACCCCGUACCAUCUAAGCAAGGGGACUGGAAUUGAUAAAACUCGCAGUUUAACACACAAAAUGAACCUCUUUCCCUAAAGUAUGAAAGGGGAGGUUAACUUGGCCCCAGACAAUCGAUAUAAAAUCGACUAAAUUUCAGUCAUGAGAUUUUUUUUGUUCUUUAACCAGAGUUAGGUACCGUCAAUAAAUUACACAAUGUAAAUGGGACAAUAUUUUCAUGUUGCACACCUUUUAGUUGUCUAAUUUAAAUGCGUUCAAUAUUUAUAUGCAUUUGUACAAUUUAUAGUUGGUUUGAAGUUGUCAUUGAAAUUUAGAGCUACUGACAUUUUACAAUAUUGUCCCAUGUAAUUGUGUAAUUUUCUGAUGGUUCUUAACCUAGCCCCAUUGGGGAAUAUCGAAUGCCACAACAAAUUGACAAUGGGCAUUAUGCAGUCUAUCAUAGUCCAAAACGUGUAUGCGUACACACUGCAGUGUUGUAGAAUAAUGGACCGUUGACUUUCAUACUUUUUUAAUUCUCGGCACAGCUCAAACAGUUUCUCUAACUUUCAACACAUUCAAAUUAGUAGAGGACGCAUACCGGAAUUGUGGGGAGGUGGCGUACAGAGCAGAUGGGACAUGGGAUGUCGGACUAUCGCGUCUCAGCGUCUGGACAAGGAUUUGGGAUCGGGUCGCGUACAGCAGCACUCAGAAUGUAUGAUUUACUUGGAUGCUGCCAGCUGUGGGCAGGUUUGAAAUAAACCCAAGCCAAUGGAAAUGUGUGGUAUUCUUUAUUCUGUGACGUUUUUUUUCUCUCUCCUAAUCUCGCAAAUCUCAGUUUUGGACAAUACUUUAUGACCGAAAUGAUCCUAUUUACACUUUGUAGUCAAUUUUGACACUAGAAUACAUGUUUGACUCAUAUCAAGGUUUAUGUGUGGUGUUGUCCAAAACGGAGAUUUGCGAGAUUAGGAGGAAAAUAACUUUAAUUUGGCCCGAGACAAGCGAUAUGGACAAGCAACAAUUAGAAAUAGUUGAUGAAUAUUGAGGUUCCAGUCGAGGAACAUUGAGAUAGAAUUUAAAACAUAAUUUGAGAGACAUUUGUAGCACAUUAAGUAAACAUAAUAUUUUGACUAGUGACAUCACAGUUGCUUGUUGUAUAGUUGAAAUGAGGGCCAUUACAUUUUAAAUCAAUCUCAAAUUAAACGAAUUCAAUUCGAAAUUAAUUUUGUAUUCGCACAACACGAUACUUAUUGCGUGACCUCGUGAUAAAUCUCGUCAAUAGCUCCGCCCCAAAUAGGAAGUCGUGCACAACCAUUGUUCAACCAUUUGUUUUGCCAGGGAAAAGGUAAACGUGGAGGAUACGAGUCGAUUUAGAUCAAGUCUAAACAUUCUCGUUUUCUCAACAAAGUUAAAG
rnacentral:lncRNA from 13 species